rnacentral:rRNA from 1 species
UUGUCAUGCCAAUGGCACUGCCCGGUAGCUAAAUGCGGAAGAGAUAAGUGCUGAAAGCAUCUAAGCACGAAACUUGCCCCGAGAUGAGUUCUCCCUGACCCUUUAAGGGUCCUGAAGGAACGUUGAAGACGACGACGUUGAUAGGCCGGGUGUGUAAGCGCAGCGAUGCGUUGAGCUAACCGGUACUAAUGAACCGUGAGGCUUAAC